rnacentral:misc_RNA from 1 species
AAGACUAUAGACCUGCGGAGUACCUGCGGAAGGAUCAUUAUCGUAUUGUAACAAUUGGGGGGGCCACCGUGGGCUGUCGCUGACCCUUUGAAAGGGGGGUCGUGCACGCCCCCAUAGUGUCAUCCUCAUACAAUCCAACUCACCUCUGUGCAUCACCGCGUGGGUUCCUUUCUGGGUCGAGUCAGACUGGCUCAGAAAAAAGGGGCUUGCGUUUUCCAUACAAAUACCUUUAUAAAUCCA